rnacentral:rRNA from 3 species
UUUUAUGGAGAGUUUGAUCCUGGCUCAGAGUGAACGCUGGCGGCGUGCCUAAUACAUGCAAGUCGAACGAUGAAGCUUCUAGCUUGCUAGAGUGCUGAUUAGUGGCGCACGGGUGAGUAACGCAUAGGUUAUGUGCCUCUUAGUUUGGGAUAGCCAUUGGAAACGAUGAUUAAUACCAGAUACUCCCUACGGGGGAAAGAUUUAUCGCUAAGAGAUCAGCCUAUGUCCUAUCAGCUUGUUGGUAAGGUAAUGGCUUACCAAGGCUAUGACGGGUAUCCGGCCUGAGAGGGUGAACGGACACACUGGAACUGAGACACGGUCCAGACUCCUACGGGAGGCAGCAGUAGGGAAUAUUGCUCAAUGGGGGAAACCCUGAAGCAGCAACGCCGCGUGGAGGAUGAAGGUUUUAGGAUUGUAAACUCCUUUUGUUAGAGAAGAUAAUGACGGUAUCUAACGAAUAAGCACCGGCUAACUCCGUGCCAGCAGCCGCGGUAAUACGGAGGGUGCAAGCGUUACUCGGAAUCACUGGGCGUAAAGAGCGCGUAGGCGGGAUAGUCAGUCAGGUGUGAAAUCCUAUGGCUUAACCAUAGAACUGCAUUUGAAACUACUAUUCUAGAGUGUGGGAGAGGUAGGUGGAAUUCUUGGUGUAGGGGUAAAAUCCGUAGAGAUCAAGAGGAAUACUCAUUGCGAAGGCGACCUGCUGGAACAUUACUGACGCUGAUUGCGCGAAAGCGUGGGGAGCAAACAGGAUUAGAUACCCUGGUAGUCCACGCCCUAAACGAUGGAUGCUAGUUGUUGGAGGGCUUAGUCUCUCCAGUAAUGCAGCUAACGCAUUAAGCAUCCCGCCUGGGGAGUACGGUCGCAAGAUUAAAACUCAAAGGAAUAGACGGGGACCCGCACAAGCGGUGGAGCAUGUGGUUUAAUUCGAAGAUACACGAAGAACCUUACCUAGGCUUGACAUUGAGAGAAUCCGCUAGAAAUAGUGGAGUGUCUGGCUUGCUAGACCUUGAAAACAGGUGCUGCACGGCUGUCGUCAGCUCGUGUCGUGAGAUGUUGGGUUAAGUCCCGCAACGAGCGCAACCCCCUUUCUUAGUUGCUAACAGGUCAUGCUGAGAACUCUAAGGAUACUGCCUCCGUAAGGAGGAGGAAGGUGGGGACGACGUCAAGUCAUCAUGGCCCUUACGCCUAGGGCUACACACGUGCUACAAUGGGGUGCACAAAGAGAAGCAAUACUGCGAAGUGGAGCCAAUCUUCAAAACACCUCUCAGUUCGGAUUGUAGGCUGCAACUCGCCUGCAUGAAGCUGGAAUCGCUAGUAAUCGCAAAUCAGCCAUGUUGCGGUGAAUACGUUCCCGGGUCUUGUACUCACCGCCCGUCACACCAUGGGAGUUGUGUUUGCCUUAAGUCAGGAUGCUAAAUUAGCUACUGCCCACGGCACACACAGCGACUGGGGUGAAGUCGUAACAAGGUAACCGUAGGUGAACCUGCGGUUGGAUCACCUCCUUUCUA